GACAAUUUGAUAGUUUUUUAAAGAUUGUUUCCUAUUCCGUUAAUGUGAUUUUUUUUUGUGCAAAUGCUCAUAAUUAGACCUUCAAAAAAAAUAGAAUUCUUAUAUAUUUAUUUUUGAUUAAGAAAACAAUCAUAUUCUCUUAUAAUCUAAACAAUAUAAUUUUGUACAUGUACCCAAUAAUGAAAGAAAGACAGAAACGGAAAAAUAUAUAAAAAAAGAUGGGGAAACAUUAAAUAUGAAAUCACGGAUGGCUACCCCCCACCACCAUUCCUCACAAGAGAUUCCUCAUUUGGAGCGUCUUAUUCUUGCACAUAUCUCUACUAAUAAAGAUAUAUAUGUUGAAAAUAUUUAUAUUUCUUCACUCUCUUCAAAACUAAAAGCAAAGAGAAAACUAGAGAGACCAAAAUGGCGGAGGAAUCUCCACAGUCUAUCUACGACUUCACCGUUAAGGAUAUUGAAGGUAAAGAUGUGAGUUUGAGCCAAUUCAAAGGCAAAACUCUUUUGAUUGUAAACGUUGCCUCCAAAUGUGGUCUGACGGAUGCAAACUACAAGGAACUGAAUGUUCUGUACGAUAAAUACAAGGACCAAGGGUUGGAGAUUUUAGCGUUUCCGUGCAAUCAGUUCUUGGGACAAGAACCAGGAAACAAUGAAGAGAUCCAACAAACUGUCUGCACAAAGUUCAAAGCUGAGUUCCCCAUCUUUGACAAGGUGGAUGUGAACGGGAAGAACACGGCGCCAUUAUACAAAUACUUGAAAGCAGAGAAAGGAGGUUUGCUUAUUGACGCAAUCAAAUGGAACUUCACAAAGUUCUUGGUUUCUCCUGACGGAAAAGUCUCCCAGAGAUAUUCUCCUAGAACCUCUCCUCUUCAAUUCGAGAAAGACAUUCAAACUCUGUUGGGACAGGCUUCAUCUUGAUCAUCAUCACAAGUUUAAAGAACCGUUUUAUCUAAAUCUUUGUUUUCUUCUUAAGAAUCCCACAAUGUUGCAAACUCUUAUUCUCUGAAUCUGCUUUUUUAAUAAACAUGGUGUCUUCUCGUUGGUGACACGUAGUAUCAUUGAUGAAUAAAUCAUAUUUAUCAUGUGACUCGUUUUAACGCUCAAACUUUAUAAAAGACAUGAUGUCGAGUCAUAAAUUCGAUUGGCUUAAUAGUACAGUUGGAUACGUAACAGAACACGUGAAAGGAUCUUGUCCUCAUGUUGCCCUAUCGUACACGACACGUUAAAGCGUGUUCACAACUUAUGACCACUUACAUAGUUUCUGAUUCUUUCCUACAAACCCGAAAGAAAAAAGAUAAAAGAAUCACAAGUAAAGACACGUUCUUUCUUUCUUCCUUUCUUUCACAUCUUGUAAUACUGACGCAAAGUCAUGAGCUUUACCGUCAUCUAAGCGUAAUUAUCAAUGAUAUAAAAGCAAGACAGGUCAAGAUCAUGAAAGCAAACAGAAGAUUACUGUCAUUAGAUUAG